CAUAUCAAUAAGCGGAGGAAAAGAAACCAACAGGGAUUGCCUUAGUAACGGCGAGUGAAGCGGCAAAAGCUCAAAUUUGAAAUCGGCCACCAGGUCGAGUUGUAAUUUGUAGAUUGUAUCUUGAGAGCGGAUUAAAGUCUGUUGGAACACAGCGCCUUAGAGGGUGACAGCCCCGUAAAAUCUAUUCUCAUUGUAAGAUACUUUCGAAGAGUCGAGUUGUUUGGGAAUGCAGCUCUAAGUGGGAGGUAAAUUCCUUCUAAAGCUAAAUAUUGACGAGAGACCGAUAGCGAACAAGUACUGUGAAGGAAAGAUGAAAAGCACUUUGAAAAGAGAGUGAAAAAGUACGUGAAAUUGUUAAAAGGGAAGGGUAUUGAAUCAGACUUGGUGCUGUUGUUCAACUGUGUUUCGGCAUAGUGUACUCAGCAGUACUAGGCCAAGGUGGGGUGUUUGGGAGUGAAAAAGAAGUUGGAAGGUAACUCUUCGGAGUGUUAUAGCCUACUUUCAUAGCUCCUCAGGCGCCUCAGGACUGCGCUUCGGCAAGGACCUUGGCAUAAUGAUUCUAUACCGCCCGU
rnacentral:rRNA from 1 species